rnacentral:rRNA from 1 species
UACGUAGGGGGCAAGCGUUGUCCGGAAUCAUUGGGCGUAAAGCGCGUGUAGGCGGUUCAGUAAGUCUGCUGUGAAAGUCCAGGGCUCAACCCUGGGAUGCCGGUGGAUACUGCUGGGCUAGAGUACGGAAGAGGCGAGUGGAAUUCCCGGUGUAGCGGUGAAAUGCGCAGAUAUCAGGAAGAACACCCGUGGCUAAGGCGGUUCUCUAGUACGGUACUGACGCUGAGACGCGAAAGCGUGGGGAGCGAACAGG